GAUAGUGUUUGCACUUUACUUACAGGUGAGGUUUCAAUUGAGGAGUUAAAGGAAAUUACUUUUAAUAUGGCCAUACGAAGUUUUAUUUGGUUAAAAUUUCCUUGGUAAUGCCACCCUCAAUGGCUGCAUGUUUGGACCUUUGCAUUUGAUAAGAUACAUCAAAUGGAAUGUGCAUAGUGGGGUCAAUACAUUGUAAACUUGUUGGUGCCAAUUGGGAGCCAAAAUAUGGGAAAU
rnacentral:lncRNA from 1 species